UAGGACUCCUGGGGGUACUUGGCCUAUCCACAGGGGGUACUUGAGUAGACUCAUGAGACCAUAGACUUACUGGUAAAAUGCACAUGAGUGGUUACUUCAGGGGUACUCCGAGCAGAGCAAAGUUCAGAUGGUGGUACAGUAACCGAAAGGGGUUGGGAACCACUGCAGUAGCAUACACGGUCUGGAGUGGAUGACCACUAUACAUCGCGCACGCUUUUAGGCUAGCAGCACAGCCAAGUACCACUCCCCGAAACAAUUUCCUAUUUUCAUGGCUACUUGACUCGUUAAUGCACACACACACACACACACGACUCGAAACAUACACAGCAAACGCAAUCGCCAUCACUGGAAGAACAGCGAAAUAGUAUGGGCUAGUUUAGUGGCAUUAUCCAGCUAGCUAGCUACCUAGCUACUCCACGAACGAACCCAUGAGAAAAGAGGCAGCAACGCAAGCUACUCACCCGUAUGGGUCUCCGUAUGGGUCUCCGUGGCACUCCUGUCCUAAUUGGCACGCUAACAAUCUGCAAUCUUGGUAUAAUACUCUCCAGGACACCUUGUUGUUUAACGGAGGUGGAUAGCUAACAACUACGAACUAUCUAGCUAGCUAGUUGUCCGAUGCUGGGGCUGCUGGAUUCUGCUCUUUACUUGAAGUGCUUGUCUCAGCGAACGUCAAUGUCGCCGAAUUAGAUGUGGCUUCCUCUAGCCUUUCCACACUCUUUUCGAGGACCCCCCAAAAACAAUCGACGAAAGAAGUAAACAACUCCAAGCAUCAUCCUAUUCGCCGAAAGGUACUCCCUAGUUUUAGCUACAUCAACUCAAACACGGACCUAUUUCCACACACGAGUUGAUACCGUUGAUUGGGGCGGGCUAAAGUGUAGAGAUACACGUCGCUUUAUCCGUUAUGGCACUGUACAACCUAACUGCACUGUGUGGCAGUUUUCAGUUGCGCACCAGUGACAAAUAAGGCUGCUCGCCAGAAACCCAAGUGCUGUAGCUAAGCUACUCUGUUGCACUGGCUGUGAAAAGUACCAAUCCUCAGCAGACCAGGGCUUCAAAGCAGGUGUUCGUGAAAUCGGCAGCAUCCUCUUCACAUUCCUCAUCAGCAUCUUCUGGUACCAGACAACAUCUGGUUGGCCUGGGCUGUGAGUGGGCUGUGUGUGAUGCUAGCCAUGUUCCUGGGAGCUCCUACCUAUCUCAUGAACGUAGAUGGUCAUAUGGAUAACUAUACGCAAGACGGAGGCUGCCCUCCAGACUUCAUCCAGUGGCCCAAGGAGAACUGCCCGACCAUUAACGGUGUCUUCAGGUGCUGCUGGUUCAGAGGAGGGUGGUGGUGCCAGCGCUGAGUGCAGCAGGGGCGCCAGUGGAGCAGCCUCCCAGGAAGAAGGUCUCUACCUGGGGAUCGAAAGGAACACAGUGGGCAUCCUGGCUGCCAUGGGGGUGUUCCAGGUGGAAUGGAUCCUUCAGUCCCUACGACUUCCCCUUUUGGACCGAGGUGGAGUUCUUCAUCACAACGUCCUAUAUCACAAUCAGCCCUUAUGUGUAUGGGAUAGGGAGUAACCUGUUUUCUGUGAAACACUUUAAGAAGUAAUGGAAGAAAGACUUUUUAGGCCUUAGGUGUCAGGUGUAAGCAAUUUUCUGUGCAGUAUGAUUAUGGGAUAAGGGAAUAACCUCUUCUCUGAAACAUGUAACAAAGUAAUUGUGGUAUAUUUAUAAACCCUCUGUGUUAGAUGUAGGUGAUUCUCUAUUUUCUCUGAAGUAAUUUUAAGAAGUCAAAGCACGGUUUUUAGACGUAAACUACCGGUCAAACGUUUUAGAAAUCCUACUCAUUCCAGGGUUUUUCUUUAUCUUUUACUAUUUUCUACAUUGUGGAAUAAUAGUGAAGACAUCAAAACUAUUAAAUAAAACAUAUGGAAUAAUGUAGUAACCAAAAGUGUUAAACGAAUCAAAAUAUAUUUUAUAUUUGAGAUUCUUCAAAUAGCCACCCUUUGCCUUGAUGAAAGCUUUGCAAACUCCUGGCAUUCUCAACCAGCUUCAUGAGGUAGUUACAUAGAAUGUAUUUCAAUUAACAGGUGUGCCUUAAAAGUGAAUUUGUGAAAUGUAUUUCCUUCUUAAUGCAUUUGAGCCAAUCAGUUGUGUUGUGACAAGGUAGGGGUGGUAUACAGAAGAUAGUCCUAUUUGGUAAAAGACCGAGUCCAUAUUAUGGCAAGAACAGCUCAAAUAAGCAGAGAAACGACAGUCCAUCAUUAAUUUAAGACAUGAAGGUCAGUCAAUACGGAAAAUGUCUAGAACUUUGAACGUUUCUUAAAGUGCAUUUGCAAAAAUCAUCAAGCGCUUUGAUGAAACUGGCUCUCACGAGGACUGCCACAGGAAAGGAAGACCCAGAGUUACCUCUGCUGCAGAGGAUAAGUUCAUUAGAGUUACCAGCCUCAGAAAUGGCAGCCCAAAUAAAUGGUUUGCAGAGUUCAAGUAACAGACACAUCUCAACAUCAACUGUUCAGAGGAGACUGCGUGAAUCCUGUCUUCAUGGUUGAAUUACUGCAAAGAAACCACUACUAAAGAACACCAAUAAGAAGAAAAGACUUGCUUGGGUCAAGAAACACGAGCAAUGGACAUUAGACCAGUGGAAAUCUGUCUUUUGGUCUGAUGAAUCCAAAUUCGAGAUUUUUGGUUCAAACCGCUGUGUCUUUUGAGACGCAGAGUGAACGGAUGAUCUCCGCAUGUGUGAAGCAUGGAGGAGGAGGUGUGAUGGUGUGGAGGGGCUUUGCUGGUGACACUGCCUGUGAUUUAUUCAAGGCACACUUAACCAGCAUGGCUACCACAGCAUUCUGCAGUGAUACGUCAUCCCAUCUGGUUUGCGCUUAGUGGGACUAUCAUUUUUUCCCCAAAAGAACAAUGACCCAAAACAAACAUCCGGGGUGUGUAAGGGCUAUUUGACCAAGAAGGAGAGUGAUGGAGUGCUGCAUCAGAUGACCUGGCCUCCACAAUCAUCUGACCUCAACCCAAUUGAGAUGGUUUGGGAUGAGUUGGACCACAGAGUAAAGGAAAAGCAGCCAACAAGUACUCCGCAUAUGUGAGAACUCCUUCAAGACUGCUGGAAAAGCAUUCCUCAUGAAGUUGGUUGAGAGAAUUUCAAGAGUGUGCAAAGCUGUCAUCAAGGCAAAGGGUGGCUACUUUGAAGAAUCUAAAAUAUAUUUUUAAUUGUUUAACACAUUUUUUUUUGUUACUACAUGAUUCCGUAUGUGUUAUUUCUUAGUUUUGAUGUCUUCACUAUUAUUCUACAAUGUAGAAAAUAGUGAAAAUAAAUGUAAAAAACCUUGAAUGAGUAGGUGUGUCCAAACUUUUGACUGGUACUGUGUGUGUGUGUGUGUGUGUGUGUGUGUGUGUGUGUGUGUGUGUGUGUGUGUGUACAGUUGAAGUCUUAAGUUUACAUACACCUCAGCCAAAUACAUUUAAAUUGUGUUUUUUGCAAUUCCUGACAUUUAAUCCUAGUAAAAAUUCCCUGUCUUAGGUCAGUUAGGAUCACCACUUUAUUUUAAGAAUGUGAAAUGUCAGAAUAAUAGUAGAGAGAAUGAUUUAUUUCAGCUUUUAUUUCAUUCAUCACAUACCUAGUGGGUUAGAAGUUUACAUACACUCAAUUAGUAUUUGGUAGCAUUGCCUUUAAAUUGUUUAACUUGGGUCAAACGUUUCAGGUAGCCUUCCACAAGAUUCCCACCAUAAAUUUGAUUAAUUUUGGCCCAUUUCUCCUGACAGAGCUGGUGUAACUGAGUCAGGUUUGUAGCCCUCCUUGCUCGCACACGCUUUUUCAGUUCUACCCACAAAUGUUCUAUAGGGUUGAGGUCAGGGCUUUGUGAUGACCACUCCAAUACCUUGACUUUGUAUACCCAUUUUGCCACAACUUUGGAAAUAUGCUUGGGGUCAUUGUCCAUUUGAAGAUCCAAGCAUUAACUUCCUGACUGAUGUCUAGAUAUGUUGCUUGAAUAUAUCCGCAUCAUUUUCCUUCCUCAUGCAGCUAUCUAUUUUGUGAAGUGCUCCAGCCCCUCCUGCAGCAAAGCACGCCCACAACAUGAUGCUGCCACCCCUGUGCUUAAUGGUUGGGAUGGUGUUCUUCGGCUUGCAAGCCUCCCCCUUUUUCCUCCAAAUAUAACGAUGGUCAUUGUGGCCAAACAGUUCUAUUUUUGUUUCAUCAGACCAGAGGACAUUUCUCCAAAAAGUACAAUCUUUGUCCCCAUGUGCAGUUGCAAACCGUAGUCUGGCUUUUUUUAUGGAGGUUUUGGAGCAGUGGCUUCUUCCUUGUUGAGCGGCCUUUCAGGUUAUGUCGAUAUAGGACUCGUUGUACUGUGGAUAUAGAUACUUUUGUACCUGUUUCCUCCAGCAUCUUCACAAGGUCCUUUGCUGUUGUUCUGGGAUUGAUUUGCACCUUUCGCACCAAAGUACGUUAAUCUCUAGGAGACAGAACGCGUCUCCUUCCUGUGUGGUAUAACGGCUGCGUGGCCCCAUGGUAUUUAUACUUGCAUACUAUUGUUUGUACAGAUGAACGUGGUACCUUCAGGCGUUUGGAAAUUUCUCCCAAGGAUGAACCAGACUUGUGGAGGUCCACAAUUUAGCUGAUUUGUUUUUAUUUUCCCAUGAUGUCAAGCAAAGAGGCACUGAGUUUGAAGGUAGGCCUUGAAAUACAUCCACAAGUACACCUCCAAUUGACUCAAAUGAUGUCAAUUAGCCUAUCAGAAGCUUCUAAAGCCAUGACAUAAUUUUCAGGUAUUUUCCAAGCUGUUUAUAAGCACAGUCAACUUCGUGUAUGUAAACUUCUGACUCACUGGAAUUGUGAUACAGUGAAUUAUAAGUGAAAUAAUCUGUCUGUAAACAAUUGUUGGAAAAGUGACUUGUGUCAUGUACAAAGUAGAUGUCCUAACCGACUUGCCAAAACUAUAGUUUCUUAACAAGAAAUUUGUGGAGUGGUUGAAAAACGAGUUUUAAUCACUCCAACCUAAGUGUAUGUAAACUUCCGACUUCAACUGUAUAUAUAACAUUGAACUCUGUCUAUGAUUGAAUGUAUGACACAGAGUGCCCAUGACACAGAGUGCCCAUGACACUUGACAACAAUGAAAAUAAGUCUUGACUUUUUGUUUAUGUAACCUCAACAGGUUUGGUAUAUGUAUCUGUUGCCUGGUGCAACAUUUUGUGUAUUUUAAAUUGUCAAAUAAAAUCAUACUGGGAACUAUC
ensembl:lncRNA